AGUGAACGCUGGCGGUAGGCCUAACACAUGCAAGUCGAACGGCAGCACAGUAAGAGCUUGCUCUUACGGGUGGCGAGUGGCGGACGGGUGAGGAAUACAUCGGAAUCUACUUUUUCGUGGGGGAUAACGUAGGGAAACUUACGCUAAUACCGCAUACGACCUACGGGUGAAAGCAGGGGAUCUUCGGACCUUGCGCGAUUGAAUGAGCCGAUGUCGGAUUAGCUAGUUGGCGGGGUAAAGGCCCACCAAGGCGACGAUCCGUAGCUGGUCUGAGAGGAUGGUCACCCACACUGGAACAGAGGCACGGUCCAGACUCCUGCGGGGGGCAACGGUGGGGAAUAUUAGGCGAGGGGGGAAGGCCGAAUCCUGCCAAACGGGGGGGAGGAAGAAGGCGUUCGGGUGGUAAAGCCCUUUUGUUGGGAGGAAAAAACAGCUGGUUAAUCCCCCGCUAUUCUGACGGUACCCAAAGAAUAAGCACCGGCUAACUUCGUG
rnacentral:rRNA from 1 species